GCACCACAUCACCAAUGACUCGCCCUCUACACCUGUACCUCCGUUCAGUCCUCGUGUUGCCCUCCUGUCUCUGAACAUGGCCGGUUCCUGUUUCCCAGACUGCCCGUGCUCUAUAGAUGGAGAGAGAGAGAGCAGGUAAGACACGCAACAAAGAGUCGGCUCAGAACUGAACCUGAGGCCACAGCAGGACACAAGCCUCUGUAUGUACAAGCUUACCUCCUGGACAUGGUCAAACCUCACAACCCAGCCCGUCCACUUCACUCUGCAUCGGCCAAUCUCUUCCGACUACACCUU